CUAUUUGCCGCCUCCUCGCCUCCCGUGCCGGUGCCCUUACGGCGGCCAAGUAGAGUCGCACCCCCCCCCCCCCCCCCCGGGCCCCGCCCCGCCCUCGUACGCCUACUCCGCGGACGGCGUACGAGGCCCAGCAGCAGCGAUCAGUCGGUGCUGACGUCCAAGGUUGAUUUUUAUGUUGUGUGUUCAUCUAAUGAUGGUGUUGACUUCAGGCAAGAGGGGCACCCCUUUGUUCCUGCAUAGACAUGUCUGAAUCCUGCGCCUCAAAUGGUCGACGAAAUGCCACAACAAGCUACCAUCCAACAGAUGCUGCACAUAUGCUGACUGUAUAUUCGAUUGAAGGGAUGCCAAAACAGCAACCGUAAGAAGGAUGUGUACCAAUCUAGGUAUGGUAGAAAAGAUUUGGUUAGUCUGUAAAGAUGAAAAUAUUUUGUUUGUUCACUCUGAAAUCUGCCUCUUGGUAAAGUGGUAAUGGUUGUUUGAACAGCUGUUUCAAACGAGCAAAUACUCCAGUGUUCCUAGCGAACUGGCCUUAGAAUUCCCCUUUUGCUUGGUGAAGUUAAUAAUCUAUGGUUAAAUGGUCUUAGCUGCAAAAUAUCAAGGAAUGUUAGUUCUGCCCUUCUAAGAAAACUGGGCUAACCUGUUCAAGUUAGGAUUUUUUUGGCAAUGUUACGACUUAAAAAAAGUGCUUGUUAGUUCCCUGCAGAAUACCAAUUCAGGAUGAUACUUGUUCUCACUUUUCUUCUAGUGUUGCUUUGCAGCUGCUAGGCCAGUCUUGCGAAACAACAAGGCCCUUAGGAACAAGUGUCUUGUUGCAAUGGUGAGCUUCAUGAGCCUGCCUAUUCUUCUCACACAUCAUUGUUCUUUUCACAGUGUUCGCAAGUUAGGAUUUUUUGGCAAUGUUGUGACUUACAUGCUGUUCUGAUGCCACAUCGUGGGGAAACCUGGAAAUUAAACCUGCCUAAUGAAGAAGAGAAAACAUUUCAUAUCGAUACACAGCCCUCUAAAUGUACUGGUAUCUGUCACUUUUUUUGUCUAGCAUCACAUGCAGCUUGCCAUAUUCUUCGGUUGCACAGUUUCUAUUUUUUGUAGCACAUCCGCAGAAAGGAAACCCAUUAUGCUUUCCAAAUUAUUUUGCUUUAGCAGAGUUUGCAUAUUUUAUAGUGUACCUAAUACCUCCUGGCUACCAAUAAGAACACUUGAUUCCAUAUACCCAGACAUCUUUAAAUAAAGUCAUUUCACCAUCCUUCUUGGAGCUUGGUAUAGGCGAGCUUGUCUCAAUAUACAGUGAAUUAUGUGAAAUUGGGAAGGCACCUCCUGUGAUAGAUGCAGAUGACCUGCAACAAGAACCCGAGGUAAAUCUAUAAUUAGUUAAUGCUUUUAGUUUAUCAGAGUGACAAUUUAUGAAUGUAGUCUAAGAAUAAUAGAUACCACCUUCCAUGAUGUGGUGUAGCAAGCUUCUUUGAAGGGCAUGACAUUUUAGUUGCUCCAUUAAAUCCUCAGCUUUUAUGCUUUACUAAAGAUUAUGUAUUUAGAUCCACUGACAAUUGGAUUGUGAACUAAGCAGUGAGGUGUAGUAGAUUGCAUGCUGAUAGGAGUCCCUUUAUCCAUGGUGACCAAUAAUUUAAUGUUCCUUUAGGGUACUCACUUUCUUCUGAAACAGAUUUAAUGUUUCAAUUAUCUUUGCUCAUAUAUGUACAAUCUUUGCAGUAACCUGUAUUGUGUUUCAACUGAUUUCCAAUGUAUUGAGGACCUGCUGGACCACCCGAGGGGAAACUGCGGCAGGGUGCCCAGAAGCAGCGCACGCUUAUCGACUAUUUCAUCCCCACCAUUGAGGGCAAGAAUGCCAUACGCUACCCACAUCUGAAGAGGCUUCUUGAAAUUUUGGAGCAAAAUGAUGCAAGCUGAUGUAUUCUUACGAGUUUUUGGCAUCCACUAGGAGAUGGAACAUUCAUCGAACUGGAGCAGGUGUGGAUAAGCGCAUGGAGGAUCUCGACACUGAUGUAGGCACACUUAAGUACUUAACAGAGCAUGCACAAUAUCUGUAGUUGGCUUAUAAAGAAAACUUUUUAUUUUUGACACAAUGAAAUAGAUAAUAUAUGUUAUGACAUGUUUUUUAGUGUAGAAAAACAAUUGAUGAUUAUAUUAUAGCAUCAUCCAGUAUAUUGCAUUUCAGGUAUAUGAUAA